CGGGAUAGCUCAGUUGGUAGAGCAGAGGACUGAAAAUCCUCGUGCCCC
rnacentral:tRNA from 1 species